rnacentral:rRNA from 1 species
AGCGGCGGACGGGUGAGUAACGCGUGGGUAACCUGCCCUGUACACACGGAUAACAUACCGAAAGGUAUGCUAAUACGAGAUAAUAUACUUUUAUCGCAUGGUAGAAGUAUCAAAGCUUUUGCGGUACAGGAUGGACCCGCGUCUGAUUAGCUAGUUGGUAAGGUAACGGCUUACCAAGGCGACGAUCAGUAGCCGACCUGAGAGGGUGAUCGGCCACAUUGGAACUGAGACACGGUCCAAACUCCUACGGGAGGCAGCAGUGGGGAAUAUUGCACAAUGGGCGAAAGCCUGAUGCAGCAACGCCGCGUGAGCGAUGAAGGCCUUCGGGUCGUAAAGCUCUGUCCUCAAGGAAGAUAAUGACGGUACUUGAGGAGGAAGCCCCGGCUAACUACGUGCCAGCAGCCGCGGUAAUACGUAGGGGGCUAGCGUCAUCCGGAAUUACUGGGCGUAAAGGGUGCGUAGGUGGUUUCUUAAGUCAGAGGUGAAAGGCUACGGCUCAACCGUAGUAAGCCUUUGAAACUGGGAAACUUGAGUGCAGGAGAGGAGAGUGGAAUUCCUAGUGUAGCGGUGAAAUGCGUAGAUAUUAGGAGGAACACCAGUUGCGAAGGCGGCUCUCUGGACUGUAACUGACACUGAGGCACGAAAGCGUGGGGAGCAAACAGGAUUAGAUACCCUGGUAGUCCACGCCGUAAACGAUGAGUACUAGCUGU